UUAAGCGACUAAGCGUACACGGUGGAUGCCCUGGCAGUCAGAGGCGAUGAAGGACGUGCUAAUCUGCGAAAAGCGUCGGUAAGGUGAUAUGAACCGUUACAGCCGGCGAUGUCCGAAUGGGGAAACCCAGUGCAAUUCGUUGCACUAUCGUUAACUGAAUACAUAGGUUAACGAGGCGAACCGGGGGAACUGAAACAUCUAAGUACCCCGAGGAAAAGAAAUCAACCGAGAUUCCCCCAGUAGCGGCGAGCGAACGGGGAGCAGCCCAGAGUCUGAAUCAGCUUGUGUGUUAGUGGAACGGUCUGGAAAGUCCGACGGUACAGGGUGAUAGUCCCGUACACCAAAAUGCACAGGCUGUGAACUCGAAGAGUAGGGCGGGACACGUGGUAUCCUGUCUGAAUAUGGGGGGACCAUCCUCCAAGGCUAAAUACUCCUGACUGACCGAUAGUGAACCAGUACCGUGAGGGAAAGGCGAAAAGAACCCCGGCGAGGGGAGUGAAAAAGAACCUGAAACCGUGUACGUACAAGCAGUGGGAGCACCUUCGGGUGUGACUGCGUACCUUUUGUAUAAUGGGUCAGCGACUUAUAUUCUGUAGCAAGGUUAACCGUAUAGGGGAGCCGCAGGGAAACCGAGUCUUAACUGGGCGUUAAGUUGCAGGGUAUAGACCCGAAACCCGGUGAUCUAGCCAUGGGCAGGUUGAAGGUUGGGUAACACUAACUGGAGGACCGAACCGACUAAUGUUGAAAAAUUAGCGGAUGACUUGUGGCUGGGGGUGAAAGGCCAAUCAAACCGGGAGAUAGCUGGUUCUCCCCGAAAGCUAUUUAGGUAGCGCCUCGUGAAUUCAUCUUCGGGGGUAGAGCACUGUUUCGGCUAGGGGGUCAUCCCGACUUACCAACCCGAUGCAAACUACGAAUACCGAAGAAUGUUAUCACGGGAGACACACGGCGGGUGCUAACGUCCGUCGUGAAGAGGGAAACAACCCAGACCGCCAGCUAAGGUCCCAAAGUCAUGGUUAAGUGGGAAACGAUGUGGGAAGGCACAGACAGCCAGGAUGUUGGCUUAGAAGCAGCCAUCAUUUAAAGAAAGCGUAAUAGCUCACUGGUCGAGUCGGCCUGCGCGGAAGAUGUAACGGGGCUAAACCAUGCACCGAAGCUGCGGCAGCGACACUAUGUGUUGUUGGGUAGGGGAGCGUUCUGUAAGCCUGCGAAGGUGACCUGUGAGGGUUGCUGGAGGUAUCAGAAGUGCGAAUGCUGACAUAAGUAACGAUAAAGCGGGUGAAAAGCCCGCUCGCCGGAAGACCAAGGGUUCCUGUCCAACGUUAAUCGGGGCAGGGUGAGUCGACCCCUAAGGCGAGGCCGAAAGGCGUAGUCGAUGGGAAACAGGUUAAUAUUCCUGUACUUGGUGUUACUGCGAAGGGGGGACGGAGAAGGCUAUGUUAGCCGGGCGACGGUUGUCCCGGUUUAAGCAUGUAGGCUGGUUGUCCAGGCAAAUCCGGAUAAUCAAGGCUGAGGUGUGAUGACGAGGCACUACGGUGCUGAAGUAACAAAUGCCCUGCUUCCAGGAAAAGCCUCUAAGCAUCAGGUAACAUCAAAUCGUACCCCAAACCGACACAGGUGGUCAGGUAGAGAAUACCAAGGCGCUUGAGAGAACUCGGGUGAAGGAACUAGGCAAAAUGGUGCCGUAACUUCGGGAGAAGGCACGCUGGUGUGUAGGUGAAGUCCCUGCGGAUGGAGCUGAGACCAGUCGAAGAUACCAGCUGGCUGCAACUGUUUAUUAAAAACACAGCACUGUGCAAACACGAAAGUGGACGUAUACGGUGUGACGCCUGCCCGGUGCCGGAAGGUUAAUUGAUGGGGUUAUCCGUAAGGAGAAGCUCUUGAUCGAAGCCCNGAAAGCUAUUUAGGUAGCGCCUCGUGAAUUCAUCUUCGGGGGUAGAGCACUGUUUCGGCUAGGGGGUCAUCCCGACUUACCAACCCGAUGCAAACUACGAAUACCGAAGAAUGUUAUCACGGGAGACACACGGCGGGUGCUAACGUCCGUCGUGAAGAGGGAAACAACCCAGACCGCCAGCUAAGGUCCCAAAGUCAUGGUUAAGUGGGAAACGAUGUGGGAAGGCACAGACAGCCAGGAUGUUGGCUUAGAAGCAGCCAUCAUUUAAAGAAAGCGUAAUAGCUCACUGGUCGAGUCGGCCUGCGCGGAAGAUGUAACGGGGCUAAACCAUGCACCGAAGCUGCGGCAGCGACACUAUGUGUUGUUGGGUAGGGGAGCGUUCUGUAAGCCUGCGAAGGUGACCUGUGAGGGUUGCUGGAGGUAUCAGAAGUGCGAAUGCUGACAUAAGUAACGAUAAAGCGGGUGAAAAGCCCGCUCGCCGGAAGACCAAGGGUUCCUGUCCAACGUUAAUCGGGGCAGGGUGAGUCGACCCCUAAGGCGAGGCCGAAAGGCGUAGUCGAUGGGAAACAGGUUAAUAUUCCUGUACUUGGUGUUACUGCGAAGGGGGGA
rnacentral:rRNA from 1 species